GACGUAGGGCGCGAGCGUUGUCCGGAUUUAUUGGGCGUAAAGAGCUCGUAGGCGGCUUGUCGCGUCGAAUGUGAAAACUCGAGGCUCAACCUCGAGACGCCGGUGGAAACCGUAAAGCUAGAGUCCGGAAGAGGAGAGUGGAAUUCCUGGUGUAGCGGUGAAAUGCGCAGAUAUCAGGAAGAACACCCGUGGCGAAGGCGGCUCUCUGGGACGGUACUGACGCUGAGACGCGAAAGCGUGGGGAGCGAACAGG
rnacentral:rRNA from 1 species